rnacentral:rRNA from 1 species
UACCAGCACCCCGAGUGGUCGGGACGUUUAUUGGGCCUAAAGCAUCCGUAGCCGGUUCUACAAGUCUUCCGUUAAAUCCACCUGCUUAACAGAUGGGCUGCGGAGGAUACUAUAGAGCUAGGAGGCGAGAGAGGCAAGCGGUACUUAGUGGGUAGGGGUAAAAUCCGUUGAUCCAUUGAAGACCACCAGUGGCGAAGGCGGCUUGCCAGAACGCACUCGACGGUGAGGGAUGAAAGCUGGGGGAGCAAACCGG